GACGAACGCUGGCGGCGUGCUUAACACAUGCAAGUCGAGCGGUAAGGCCCUUCGGGGUACACGAGCGGCGAACGGGUGAGUAACACGUGAGCAAUCUGCCCUCCACAUCGGGAUACCCCC
rnacentral:rRNA from 1 species